GCCGCUCCUCUCCUUGAAAAAGUCCCCUACAUUAUCUUGGAUUUUUCCUUUUAUAGCUGGGACAAAACACUUAAAAUAUUCCCGAUUUAUCCACCCGGCGCGUCGUGCCAUGACUUCGAUUGCUAUUUUUCUUUAAAAUUUGGGAAAUUACGGAGCUCAAGUAUUCCCUAAUAAUUAUAAAAUGCACCCUCACCGCGAUGCGCCACUAUCGCAGUAAGCCACUGGAUGGGGACAAUUGCAAAAUAAUCAUCCUCCGCGAUAUGCUAAACCUUCAGGUCACCAAAUCUGAUAAACAAGACUUCUCCGCGACGCGGUGGUUUCGCAAACCUUCACUGGAAUUUGACCAUUGCUAUUUUGUUUAUCAUCACGACGCGGAGAGUCUUCAAAUGAGG
rnacentral:lncRNA from 1 species